rnacentral:lncRNA from 1 species
CCUCGUGAAGCUUAUGCAGCAUUUAUCACCCAUAACAAGCUGCAGUUAGGGGCAAUUCAAAGGAGGAGUUGAAGCAUUAUCUUCCUAAAGAGAAUGGAACCUCACCUGGGAAGACGAAAUGGACUGCUGGGGAGGAUAGACUGGUGAGGAAGUGGGGCCAGUAUUGGGGUAGAGAGGGUGACGUGUCUGAUUUAGGACACUGUUCUAGGGACUCAUGGGGAACUUUGGUAUUUUAGGGAACUGAAUGGGAUUUGAUUAAAGAGCUGACCAUCAGGCUACUGCAGAGUGUAAUGAGAGACCAGAUAAGGCUGUAAAGAGGGACCAUAAUGGGGAGUGGAGGAUGGGCCUGCCAGACGGCAGAGGACUGACCCCAGAGGGAGAAUGGGCACCAGGCAGACGCAGAAGACGGGGAGGGACUUCCAAGAAGGAAGUUGGUAGCGUGGCAGACGAGCCCAUCAAGAGCUUCCCGAGGCUGAAAGCUGCAAAAAUACUGUUGGAUUGAGAAGAGCUGUGAGAUUGAAAAUUAACUCACAGGGGCUUAAGCAAGAAGGGUCUGUGCUUAGAAGGAAUCACAGGUGAAAGGAGUGUUUUUAUCGUUAUUUUUAAAAGUGGAGAGAGGGUAAGCAAAGGAGUGAGUUUCCUGAGGAGGUGGGAAGGGAUGAGGUUGGUUUUAAAAUUCCUCUUCCCUUAAGUCAGAGUGGAGGGAGAGAGAAUGAACGAGCUGCGCAGAGGUGUGGGAGGCACACUGAUGGAGGGCAAAGGAGGUCACAUCACCAUCUCCAUCGGCCUCAGGAGGUCAGGCAAGGCAAUCUGUUCUGAGGACGGGGUGCAGGUGGGGAGCACGGUGAGGGGCAGAUUCAGAAAAGGACUGUGCAGAGGUGCCGGGGCAGCUGCAGAGGAGGAAUAAAGGGAUUGCAGCAGAGAGGAUUGGUUGAAGCUGGAAUCAUGAAUGCAUAAUAGUGCUGGCG